rnacentral:tRNA from 1 species
CGGUCAUUAGCUCAGCUGGGAGAGCACCUCCCUUACAAGGAGGGGGUCGGCGGUUCGAUCCCGUCAUCACCCACCA